rnacentral:rRNA from 1 species
GACAGAGGGUGCAAACGUUGUUCGGAAUUACUGGGCGUAAAGCGUGUGUAGGCGGCCGCGUAAGUCGGAUGUGAAAGCCCUGGGCUCAACCCAGGAAGUGCACUCGAUACUGCGUGGCUUGAGUACUGGAGAGGUUGGUGGAAUUCUCGGUGUAGAGGUGAAAUUCGUAGAUAUCGAGAGGAACACCGGUGGCGAAGGCGGCCAACUGGACAGAUACUGACGCUGAGACAAGAAAGCGUGGGGAGCAAACAGG